GUUGAUUACGUCCCUGCCCUUUGUACAC
rnacentral:piRNA from 3 species